UACGUAGGGGGCAAGCGUUGUCCGGAAUCAUUGGGCGUAAAGCGCGUGUAGGCGGCUCGAUAAGUCUGCUGUGAAAGUCCAGGGCUCAACCCUGGGAUGCCGGUGGAUACUGUCGAGCUCGAGUCCGGAAGAGGCGAGUGGAAUUCCUGGUGUAGCGGUGGAAUGCGCAGAUAUCAGGAGGAACACCUAUAGCGAAGGCAGCUUGCUGGGACGUUACUGACGCUAAGGCGCGAAAGCGUGGGGAGCGAACAGG
rnacentral:rRNA from 1 species